CCCCUAGAUGUUCUGGGCCGCACGCGCGCUACACUGAACUGUUCAACAAGUCUUAACCUUGGCCGAUAGGUCUGGGUAAUCUUUGAACGCUGUUCGUGAUUGGGAUAGACCUUUGCAAUUAUGGGUCUUCAACGAGGAAUUCCUAGUAAACGCAAGUCAUCAGCUUGCAUUGAUUACGUCCCUGCCCUUUGUACACACCGCCCGUCGCACCUACCGAUUGAAUGGUCCGGUGAAAUCUCGGGACGGCGGCUUGGUCGCUUGCGUCCGACUGCUGAAACUUGAUUAAACCAUAUCAUUUAGAGGAAGGUGAAGUCGUANCA
rnacentral:rRNA from 1 species